rnacentral:rRNA from 1 species
AUUGAACGCUGGCGGCAGGCCUAACACAUGCAAGUCGAACGAGUGGCGGACGGGUGAGUAACGUCGGGGAACCUGCCUGAUGGAGGGGGCUAACUACUGGAAACGGUAGCUAAUACCGCAUACCAUCAGAUGUGCCCAGAUGGGAUGAGCUUGUUGGUGGGGUAACGGCUCACCAAGGCGACGAUCCCUAGCGGGUCUGCGAGGAUGACCGGCCACACUGGAACUGAGACACGGUCCAUACUCCUACGGGAGGCAGCAGUGGGGAAUAUUGCACAAUGGGCGAAAGCCUGAUGCAGCCAUGCCGCGUGUAUGAAGAAGGCCUUCGGGUUGUAAAGUACUUAAACCGGGGCGGCGUUACCCGCAGAAUAAGCACCGGCUAACUCCGUGCCAGCAGCCGCGGUAAUAC